ensembl:snoRNA
CCUGCCCCUAGAGGCAUUGCAGGUGUGGCUGCCUUGUCAUGUGUGUGUCAGUAGGCGGCAGAGGGGAGAGAGGCUGUGUCUAUUCUCAGUGUUCUGACCUAUGAACAUCUGAAUGACUAGUGGUCUAACAUU